CCAAUAUACUUAUCACAGUGUGUCCCUGUGGACACUCACACAGAUUGGAUUCAGGGCAGAGUCACUGGAACCACCAUGAAGAGGCACAGGUGACAGAGAUGAAGGUUUGUACAGGAUCUCUGAGGAGUGAACAGGGAGACUUGUCCCAUCGCCUGCCUUUCACGCCUGCGCUGUCCUUGGGAAAGGAAGCAGGCACCACCUGAUUUACCCAGGAGAACUGAGAGGGACCUUGCCCACAAGAGCACGGUUUUCAGAAAACCAAACAUGGAAAUGUGAAGACGCUACCCUGUCUGUGGGCCUCCUGCCGGGCUGUGGGAACAGGAGAGCUGUGAACCCAGGGAAGCAAUAUAAGUAAUUUUGCUGGUAAUUUCAUGAAGGACCCCUACGACAUGGAUAGCGUCUAUAAUGGUUACGGUCUGCUGCAUAUUUACUGCCUUGAACUGGAACUCCACCAGCGCCUGUAACAUCUGCUGCCUCUGCAACCUUUUCUCCUUCAACAUCAUCAAACCCUACAGUCUCUCCAUCUCCUUUCUACACUGUGAAGGUACUUCCUGGGGUUAUUCUUCUUUAUGGCAGUCUGGUGUACAAAUAUGUCUUCCUUGGCUUACCAUCUCUACCAUCACCCGGUUUGGUCAUCCAACAAGAUGAAAUGAACAUAAAAUUCCAGCAAUAAGAAAUGAACAAAGAUUGGAGCUGAAGACCUUAAGCGCUUGCUUUUUGCCCAUUGACCAGAUACACUAGAACUAUCUGAAUUAUCUAUGCAGCAUGGGGUUUGUAUUAUUUUUACUUAAAGAUAUCUCUUUUUGGUAAUGACAAACAUGUUUUUGUUUUGUUUUGUUUUUUAAAAAAGGUCUGGCUUUUAUCAAUAC
rnacentral:lncRNA from 1 species